UACGUAGGGGGCAAGCGUUGUCCGGAAUCAUUGGGCGUAAAGCGCGUGUAGGCGGCCAGAAAAGUCCGCUGUGAAAACUCGAGGCUCAACUUCGAGCUGUCGGUGGAAACUUUCUGGCUAGAGUCCGGAAGAGGAGAAUGGAAUUCCUGGUGUAGCGGUGAAAUGCGCAGAUAUCAGGAAGAACACCCGUGGCGAAGGCGGUUCUCUGGGACGGUACUGACGCUGAGACGCGAAAGCGUGGGGAGCGAAACAGG
rnacentral:rRNA from 1 species